UCUUUCUUGAAUGCUCUAAACUUACUAUCUAAGAUUCAGUGAGUAUCCAUUUCAUUACUGCUCUUUAUAAAGAAACUUUUAGUAAACAAAUAUGAUGAUGAGAUGGUUAAGUAAUAGGUGGAGUUUAUGUAAUAAUAAUUACCACCAUUAAGCUGAUCAUUAGGAUUAUGCACUGGCCCACUAGCUCUCUUAUUCCAUGAUUUGUUCGAAUGCAAUUUUGUGGUAGAUCCUUUCAUUUUUUCUCCAACUGAGCAGCAAACUUGUAUCCCUUUCUUUAUUCUUUCUUAAUUCAAUUAUCAGCGAUAGUAACGAUAUUUUUAGGAGCCAAUGUUGAACAGAAAAAAAAGUAUGUAGCUUACCGUUAAUACCGUAAC
rnacentral:lncRNA from 1 species